rnacentral:rRNA from 1 species
AUGCCGCGGUACAGCGCCUCCCUGUUCGCCGGCAUCCGGUGGUCCGAUCCCGUCACGCUUCCCCUGCACGUCGGCUCGGCCGCUGCCGGCGACGGCGGGGGCGCGGAGGAGGACCUGGUCGCGGGGGGCGCGCCCUCAUUGUCGAUGACUCCCUCCGCGAAGCGCACCCGCUUCUCCCCCUUCCGCCGCAGCUUCCCACCGCGCGGCCGCUUGUCUGAGGAGGAGGAGGAGGAGGAGGGGGAGAGGCAUGGACGAAGGGACGCGGGGUCGUCCGAGGCAGGGGCGUCGUCGUCGAGGCUGGGCUUGGCGAAGCGGCGGAGGGAGAAGAGGACGAGGGAGCCGGAGAGCGCCAUGGCAGUGGCCGCGGCGAGCGCGCCCAUGGACGAGGAGGAGGAGGAGGACAUGGUCGUGGUCGUGGCGGGGUGGGUGAGCGUUGAAGGCUGGCUGGCUGGCUGGCGGGUGGCUGACUUGACUCGUGGAGUCCUGGCCUGUUUCGGGUUCGGUGCAGGUUUGGUUGGAGCGCCGGGGGCGGCACUGCUGUGCUAUAUAGGGCGAGGAGGGCCGCAUGUCUGCGGGAGACGGGUCGCGGUGUUUCGGCUCGACACAACACCUCCGUUUCGAACUGUUUUCAAAAAUAAUAUCUCCGUUUCGAACUGUUUUCAAAAAUAA